rnacentral:rRNA from 1 species
UCGGGAAUAUUGGACAAUGGGGGAAACCCUGAUCCAGCAAUACCGCGUGUGUGAAGAAGGCCUGCGGGUUGUAAAGCACUUUUAGUGGGGAAGAUAAUGACGUUACCCACAGGAAAAGCACCGGCUAACUCCGUG